ensembl:misc_RNA Metazoa_SRP Metazoan signal recognition particle RNA
GCUGGGCGUGGUGGCGCACACCUGUAAUCCCAGCUACUUGGGAGGCUGAGGCAGGAGAAUCGCUUGAACCCGGGAGGUGGAGGUUGCAGUCAGCCAAGAUGGCGCCACUGCACUCCAGCCUGGGCAACAGAGCGAGACUCCGUCUCAA